AGGUAGUGAUGUCGCGGGAUUUGGAUCUCGCGGGAAAACUUGUCUGUGAGUCCGGAGCGGAGGGCGAGCGCGCGGGAAGUUCGAGUGUCGGACCCCGGGAACUCGGGUCGGCAUGAGCCUCUGGGUGGACAAAUACCGGCCCUGCUCUUUGGGACAGCUGGACUAUCACAAGGAGCAGGCGGCCCAGCUGCGCAACUUGGUGAGUCGGCGGGACGGGGCGGGGAGAGCCGGAGGAGGCGAGGCCUUCGCUCUCCCGCUUCAGAAGGUGCAGUGUGGUGACUUUCCUCAUCUGUUAGUCUAUGGACCAUCAGGUGCUGGAAAAAAGACAAGAAUUAUGUGUAUUCUACGUGAACUUUAUGGUGUGGGAGUGGAAAAAUUGAGAAUUGAACAUCAGACCAUCACAACUCCAUCUAAAAAGAAAAUUGAAAUUAGCACUAUUGCAAGCAAUUACCACCUUGAAGUUAAUCCCAGUGAUGCUGGAAAUAGUGACCGGGUAGUAAUUCAGGAGAUGUUGAAAACAGUGGCACAAUCACAGCAACUUGAAACAAACUCUCAAAAAGAUUUUAAAGUCGUGUUAUUGACAGAAGUUGACAAACUCACUAAAGAUGCUCAGCAUGCCUUGCGCAGAACCAUGGAAAAGUAUAUGUCCACCUGCAGGUUGAUCUUGUGUUGCAAUUCUACAUCAAAAGUGAUACCACCUAUUCGUAGUAGGUGCCUUGCAGUUCGUGUGCCUGCUCCCAGCAUUGAAGAUAUUUGCCAUGUGUUAUCUACUGUGUGCAAGAAGGAAGGUCUAAAUCUUCCUUCACAACUGGCUCGUAGACUUGCAGAGAAGUCCUGCAGAAAUCUCAGAAAAGCUCUGCUUAUGUGUGAAGCCUGCAGAGUGCAACAAUAUCCUUUUACUGGAGAUCAAGAAAUCCCUGAAACAGAUUGGGAGGUGUAUCUGAGGGAGACUGCCAAUGCUAUUGUCAGUCAGCAGACUCCACAGAGGCUCCUUGAAGUUCGUGGGAGACUCUAUGAGCUUCUGACUCAUUGUAUUCCUCCUGAAAUAAUAAUGAAGGGCCUUCUCUCAGAGCUUUUACAUAAUUGUGAUGGACAACUGAAAGGGGAAGUGGCCCAGAUGGCAGCUUACUAUGAACAUCGUCUACAGCUGGGUAGCAAAGCCAUUUAUCACUUGGAAGCAUUUGUGGCCAAAUUUAUGGCACUUUAUAAGAAGUUCAUGGAGGAUGGAUUGGAAGGCAUGAUAUUCUGACAUCUAUCAGUAAUUCUUCCUAAUAUUUCUCAGUAUCAGCAUUUACAUUAAAUUUAUAUUGGAAGAGCUACAGGAUCAAGGAGGGCACUCUGGAGGGACUGACUAACCUUGAUUCCAUGUGGCAUUUCCUCUGACUUUCAAGACUCACUGUCCUAUCAUAGAAUCUCAGAUCAGCUCUAUGUUAAUAUCAUUCUUGUGGGGACGACUUUUAAGCUGCCUGCCACUAGACCCAGGAGGAAACUCAAAAGAGCAGAGACGUGUAGCUUGUGAUCUUAUGAAGGUGGCCUCCUGAAAGGUCUCCCAAGGCAGACAGCUACAACUCUUGCUGACCAUAGGCUUUGAUGGAAGAAAUUUUCACAUACUGAGAUGGCAGCUGGAGAUGCAGACAUCACGGUCAUAUUCUAGAAUGGCAGCAGGACAAAGGAAACUUUAAAGAAGAUUUCCUAGAGGUACCUCCUACAUUUUUACUUCUCGAUGUCUGGGAUUUAUUUCUGUUGGUCACCUCUGAAGUUGGAGAAAAGCUAGGCAUAUGAUGGCACUGAGUAAAAUACUUUUUUUUUUUUAAAUCAGAGAAAAAGUGGAAAAUGAAUAUUGGGGUAAGCAAUUAGCUGUCUCUGUUCCAGUCAUAGAAAAAUGAGGUAUCUCUUUACCUAUUUAAGUGGAAAUAGAAAUGGUAAGCUAUCAAAUAUUGAGAAAGUAUUGCUCACAGAAUUUAUUUUUCUGGUUCUAGUUCUUAGUCCUACCUUUUUCUUUAAACUAUGGCAUCGUAACCCCCUGAAUUUGAAACUCCAUUUAUAACACACACGAUAUGUAUCCUCAAGUGCUGAAUGCAUGCUCAGCAAUGGGUGGCCAUGUCAUCCUUCUCUAUGUGACUCCUGGCACUUUGGGUAUGCUGUUUUCUUUCUCUGGGAUACUUUUCCCUUCUUUACUUCUGCUAAUUCUGUGGGGGUUCUGUGUCACUGUUGUUUUGCCUAGAAGGGUAGGUUAGGACUCCUCCCUUGUCAUAGUGGCCAUAGUAAUUUGUUGUAAUAACUUCUUCAUUGUCAGUCUUCCUAGUUGGAAGUCAGUGAAGACAGUGAGCAGCUACAUCUGUUUUGUUCUCUGCUCUAGCUGUCUAGUACAAUGCCUAGAAAAUAUAGGUGCUCAGUAUAUUUGUUGAAGGGAUAAAUGGGCAAAGAUUAAAUGACGGGACCCAGUUGAAAGGGUAUUAUCAUUGAAAGUUAUCAUUGCUAUGAAACUAUUUAGUAUGGUAUUAAUUAUGCAGUGGUGACAAAUUUGGGUGUGCAAAAAUGUAAUCAUUUUUCUCCAACUCAACAUUGACAUUGAGCUCCUCAUUCCCCUUGGAGAUUUAAUCUCAGCCAAUUCAUGGUAGACUCAGUCAAAUUAUGGCUUUCUUAGUCAAUUCAGAGGCUUAUUUUUCCCCCCAGUCAGUUCAGGAUUCCUCCUCUGAGACUGCCUCUCAAUUGGGGGGAGGUUCCAUUACCUCAAGGCAUGGAGAAGACACUACACUUGGGACGUUCUCUGCCUAGGCUGGCACCUGGCAAAUGUGUCAUUCUACCUGUUUCCUGGGGUCUGUGACUGUCCCAGUGUGGUGUCUGCUGAGGCAUUGGGGUUCCCAUUGGUCUCCAGUGACUGUGCUGCCUUCAGCCACUGGGAUGUGAUGAGUGUGCAUGCUCUCUUUUAGUGACACACCUCCCCUUGUCUCUCUGGGAGGCACAGGCAAAAUUGUGCUCUGUGGAGCUUUCUCAGGUGCCUUCAUAUAGACUCCUCAUGCCACCAUCUCUACCCACUGUCACCUUGCCAUGGUGAUACAGGGACCCCUUUAAGGCUUACCUCUUGCGUAGUCUCUAGUGGAAGUGGGGCACUGGUCUCCUCUAUGCUCAGAUCCCCAAAUCUAUCUGGGAUUCUUUGCCCCUCACCCCCUCCCAAGAGUUUUGGCCCUGGUUGAUGAUGGUUAGAGGGCAGACUCUCUUUUCAGAGACCUAUACCAUCUAACUCUAUGGCUUUCCUCUCAUAUCUUCUAACACUUCUCUCUUCCUUAUAAAUUGUAAUCCCUUCCAAACUACUUUGGCUAAUUUCACAUGCUUUCAAGUUUAUUGUUCAUGACAUAAAUGAAAUGCCACAAAUACAUCAUGAUUUUGAUACUCAGAAGUCAGACUUUUUUUUUUUUUUUUUUGCGGUACGCGGGCCUCUCACUGUUGUGGCCUCUCCCGUUGCGGAGCACAGGCUCCGGACGCGCAGGCUCAGUGGCCAUGGCUCACGGGCCCAGCCGCUCUGCGGCAUGUGGGAUCUUCCCAGACUGGGGCACGAACCUGUGUCCCCUGCAUCGGCAGGCGGACUCUCAACCACUGCGCCACCAGGGAAGCCCUAGAAGUCAGACUUUUGAGACUCAAAAAUGACUUUAAAUAAAAUAACUUUUUGCUUUGUCUUUGCUGCAAGUUUCAAAAGUCUGCUUUAAAACUCGGAAGCUGAGGAUGAACUAUUUUCAUCUGCCCUCUCAUCCUUUCCCUGAGACAAAGCCUACAUGCCUAAAGGAGAGGGUCAUGGAGCAAAAUAAGAAUUUUGAGGAAAAAAAAUAGAUGGGUUAAUAACAAAUUAACCCAAUAUAUAAUAAGGACAAUUGAUAAUCACUCUAAUGCUCCAAAAUAAUAGAAUAGUAAAAUAAUGUUAUAAUGGAAAACUAUAAAAUCAUUGAAUAUUUAGAAGUAUUUUUAAUAACACAAAAAUCUUUAUGUAUUAACGAGUGAAGAGAUGGGUAUAUAAAAGUGUGUACAAAGAUCACAACAUUAUAAAAAUACUCGGAGAGCAUAGUCAUGAGGAAAAGAAGCAUAAUUGUAGCAUAAUUUUGGGUAGUAGGACUAUGCAUAAUUCCUAUUUUUUACAUUUUCUAAUAUUUCCCUCUAAGGAAUGUGAAUUAUGUUUAUAAUCACAACAUUAUAUAUUAUAUAUAUAUGCAUAUACAUGUAUGUAUUUACAGUUUGAUAUAAAUAAUAAAAUUUCCUAUAGACAGGCCAGGCAAACAGCAUCCCUUAUAUAACGAGGGCUAAAUAAGACUAUAUCUGUCUUUAGAUAUAUUUUUGUACUCUAUCUGUACAUAUAUUUUUUGGAUGAGGGAAAAGAGCCAGUGGGGAAAGCUGAAGUAGCCAGGUUCCCCACAAGAAAAUCAGGGGAACAACAAUGUGGAGGAGGAGGACGGAAGUGCAUGACUGCUUGCAGUUGGGGUGGGGGCUGCCAUCAGACACUUGCUCAGAUGCAGACAGAUUUUGCUGUCUGCUACCACACAAACACAUUUUAAGAUGUAUUCUACAUUAUAGACCUCUAAAUAUUUGAAUUAGCUAUUGUAUUUCUCCUUAACUGUCCCCCUCUCCAAACUAGACAUUUCCAGGUGCUGCACAUUUUCGUCCUGUGACUUGGUCUUCAGAGUCCUUGUUCUGCUGGUUGCUUGUCUCUAGAUGUGCGUAUCCUUAUCACUCAGCUUCUUAAAGUGACACUUGACUCCAUAUGUGGUCCAGGCAGCUCUGAGGAUAGAGAAACUCCUUGUUCUUUCCCUCUAGGCUAAAGCAAGGAGAGAAGAAAGAAAAACGAGAUGUGUUGUUUCUGUCUGUGGCAUGAUUCCCCGUCAAGAUUUUCCUAAAGUCAGGGGGAGGUUACUUUGGCAACAACAAUUUUAUGGGCCUUUAAAUAACCUCCUCCUGGGAGACCCCUGGUGGUGCAGUGGUUAAGAAUCUGCCUGCCAAUGCAGGAGACACAGGUUCGAGCCCUGGUCUGGGAAGAUCCCAUGUGCCACAGAGCAACUAAGCCUGUACACCACAACUACUGAGCCUGCACACUAGAGCCCACGAGCCACAACUACUGAGCCCGUGUGCCUAGAGCCCGUGCUCCGCAAGAAGAGAAGCCACCACAAUGAGAAGCCCGUGCACCACAACGAGGAGUAGCCCCCACUUGCCAUAACUAGGGAAAGCCUGUGGGCAGCAAUGAAGACCCAGUGCAGCCAGAAAUAAAUAACUUUUAAAAAUAAAAAUUAAAAAAAAAAACAACCUCCUCCUGCUUAGUGAUAUUUCAUUUUCAUAAAAUAAGCAAGCCCUGCAGUGACUUGUUAAAGUAGCCAAAACUCUUCUUUUCUCUCUCAUUAUUUAAGAAACAUAUUCAAACAAAUCAUAUAAUAUUUAAAAACAUGUUGCCGAGAUUGGUUCAAGAUGGCAGAGUAGAAGGACGUGUGCUCACUCCCUCUUGUGAGAGCACUGGAAUCACAACUAACUGCUGAACAGUCAUCGAAAGGGAGACACUGGAACUCACCAAAAAAGAAACCCCACGUCCAAAGAAAAAGGAGGAGCUGCAAUGAGACGGUAGGAGGGGCGCAAUCACAAUAAAAUCAAAUCCCAUAACAGCUGGGUGGGUGACUCACAAACUGGAGAACAAUUAUACAACAGAAGUCCACCCACUGGAGUGAAGGUUCUGAGCCCCACGUCAGGCUUCCCAACCUGGGGGUCCAGCAACGGGAGGAGGAAUUCCCAGAGAAUCAGACUUUGAAAGCUAGCACAAUUUGAUUGCACGACUUUGACAGGACUGGGGGAAACAGAGACUCCAAUCUUGGAGGGCACACACAAAGUAGUGUGCACAUCAGGACUCAGGGGGAAGGAACAGUGACCCCACAGGAGACUGAACCAGACCUACCUGCUAGUGUUGGAGGGUCUCCUGCAGAGGCGAGGGGUGGCUGUGGCUCACCACGGGGACAGGGACACUGACAGCAGAAGUUCUGGGCAGUACUUCUUGGCAUGAGCCCUCCCAGAGUCUGCCAUUAGCCCCACCAAAGAGCCUGUAGGCUCCAGUACUGGGUCACCUCAGGCCAAACAACCAACAUGAGGGAACUGAGCCCCACCCAUCAGGAGACAAGCAGAUUAGUUUUACUGAGCUUUGCCCACGAGAGCAACAGCCAGCUCUACCCACCACCAGUCCCUCCCAUCAGGAAGCCCCUUAGAUAGCCUCAUCUACCAGAGGGCAGACUUCAGAAGCAAGAAGAACUACAGUUUUGCAGCCUGUGGAAUGAAAACCACAUUCACAGAAAGAAAGACAAAAUGAAAAGGCAGAGAACUGUGUACCAGAUGAAGGAACAAGAUAAAACCCCAGAAAAUCAAAUAAAUGAAGUGGAGAUAGGCAAACUUGCAGAUAGGCAAACAAACAGAAUUCAGAAUAAUGAUAGUGAAGAUGAUCCAGGACCUCGGAAAGAGAAUGGAGGCAAAGAUGAGAAGAUGCAAGAAGUGUUUAACAAAGACCUAGAAGAAUUAAAGAACAAACAAACAGAAAUGAACAAUACAAUAACUGAAAUGCAAACUACCCUAGAAGGAAUCAAUAAGAGAAUAACUGAGGCAGAAGAACAGAUAAGUGACCUGGAAGACAGAAUGGUGGAAAUCACUGCUGCAGAACAGAAAAAAGAAUGAAAAGAAAUGAGGACAGCCUAAGAGACCUCUGGGACAACAUUAAAUGCACCAACAUUCUCAUUAUAGGGGUCCCAGAAGGAAAAGAGAGAGAAAGGACCUGAGAAAAUAUUUGAAGAGAUUAUAGUCGAAAACUUCCCUAACAUGGGAAAGGAAAUAGCCACCGAAGUCCAGGAAGCACAGAGAGUCCCAGGAAGGAUAAACCCAAGGAGAAACACUCUGAGAUACAUAGUAAUCAAACUGACAAAAAUUAAAGACAAAUUAUUAAAAGCAACAAGGGAAAAAAGACAAUAUAUAAGGGAACUCCCAUAAGGUUAACAGCUGAUUUCUCAGCAGAAACUCUACAAGCCAGAAGGGAGUGGCACCAUAUACUUAAAGUGAUUAAAGGGAAGAACCUACAACCAAGAUUACUCUACCUGGCAAGGAUCUCAUUCAGAUUUGCCAGAGAAAUCAAAAGAAUUACAAACAAGCAAAAGCUAAAAGAAUUAAGCUGCACAAAACCAGCUCUACAACAAAUGUUAAAGGAACAUCAUUAAGUGGGAAACACAGGAGAAGAAAAGGACCUACAAAAAGAAACCCAAAAUGAUUAAGAAAAUGGUAAUAGGAGCAUACAUAUCGAUAAUUACCUUAAAUGUAAAUGGAUUAAAUGCUGCAAUCAAAAGACACAGGCUGGCUGAAUAUAUGUUCAGCCAGCCUGUAUACAUGUUGUCUACAAAAGACCCAUUUCAGACCUAGGGACACAUACAGACUGAAAGUGAGGGGAUAGAAAAAUAUAUUCCAUGCAAAUGGAAAUCAAAAGAAAACUGUAGUAGCAAUACUCAUAUCAGAUAAAAUAGACUUUAAAAUAAAGAAUGUUAGAAGAAACAAGGAAGGACACUACAUAAUGAUCAGGAGUCAAGGAGUCAAUCCAAGAAAAUGAUAUAACAAUUAUACAUAUAUAUGCACCCACCAUAGGAGCACCUGUAUACUAAGGCAAAUGCUAACAGUUUUAAAAAAGGAAAUUGAGAGUAACACAAUAAUAGUGGGGGACUUUAACACCUCACUUACACCAAUGGACAGAUCAUCCAGACAGAAAAUUAAUAAGGAAACACAAGUUUUAAAUGACACAAUAGACCAGAUAGAUUUAAUUGAUAUUUAUAGGACAUUCCAUCCGAAAACAGCAGAUUACACUUUCUUCUCAAGUGCACACAGAACAUUCUCCAAGAUAGAUCACAUCUUGGGUCACAAAUCAAGCCUCAGUAAAUUUAAGAAAAUUGAAAUCAUAUCAAGUAUCUUUUCUGACCACAACACAAUGAGAUUAGAAAUUAAUUACAGGGAAAAAAUGUAAAAAAUACAAACACAUGGAGGCUAAACAAUACUUUACUAAAUAACCAAGAGAUCACAGAAGAAAUAAAAGAGGAAAGAAAAAGAUACCUAGAGACAAAUGACAAUGAAAACACGAUGAUCUGAAACCUAUGGGAUACAGCAAAAGCAGUUCUAAGAGGGACGUUUAUAGCAAUACAAUCCUACCUCAAGAAACAAGAAAAACUCCUCAACCUCCUCCAAAAAGUUGCAGAGGAAGGAACACUCCCAAGUUCAUUCUACGAAGCCACCAUCACCCUGAUACCAAAACCAGACAGAGGUACUACAAAAAAAAAAGAAAAUUACAGAUCAAUAUCACUGAUGAAUACAGAUGCAAAAAUCCUCAACAAAAUACUAGCAAACAGAAUCCAACAACACAUUAAAAGGAUCAUACACUAUGAUCAAGUGGGACGUAUCCCAGGGAUGCAAAGAUUCUUCAAUACAUGCAAAUCAAUCAAUGUGAUACACCAUAUUAACAAACUGAAGAAUAAAAACCAUAUGAUCAUCUCAGUAGUUGCAGGGAAAGCUUUUGACAAAAUUCAACACCUAUUUAUGAUAAAAACUCUCCAGAAAGUGGGCACAGAGGGAACCUACCUCAACAUAAUAAAGGCCAUAUAUGAAAACCCACAGCAAACAUCAUUCUCAAGGGUGAAAAACUGAAAGCAUUUCCUAUAAGAUCAGGAGCAAGACAAGGAUGUCCACUCUUGCCACUGUUAUUCAACAUAGUUUUGGAAGUCCUAACCACAGCAAUCAGAGAAGAAAAGGAAAUACAAGGAAUACUAAUUGGAAAAGAAGAAGUAAAACUGUCAUUGUUUGCAGAUGACAUGACGAAUCCUAAAGAUGCCACCAGAAAACUGCUAGAUCUAAUCAGUGAACUCAGUAAAGUUGCAGGAUACAGAAUUAAUGCACAGAAAUUUCUUGCAUUCCUAUACAUUAACAAUGUAUAGAUCAGAAAGAGAAAUUAAGGAAAUAAUCCCAUUCACCACUGCAACAAAAAGAAUAAAAUAUCUAGGAAUAAGCCUACCUAAGGAGGUAAAAGACCUGUACUCAGAAGACUAUAAGACACUGAUGAAAGAAAUCAAAGAUGACACAAACAGAUGGAGAGAUAUACCAUGUUCUGGGAUUGGAUGAAUCAACAUUGUGAAAAUGACUAUACUACCCAAAGCAAUCUACAGAUUCAGUGCAAUCCCUAUCAAAUUACCAAUGGCAUUUUUUAUAGAAGUAGAACAAAAAAUCUUAAAAUUUGUAUGGAGACACCAAAGAUCCCGAAUAGCCAAAGCAAUCUUGAGGGGAAAAAACAGAGCUGGAGGAGUCAGACCCCCUGACUUCACACUAUACUACAAAGCUACAGUAAUCAAGACAAUAUGGUACUGGCACAAAAACAGAAAUAUAGAUCAAUGGAGCAGAAUAGAAAGCCCAGAAAUAAACCCACACAUCUAUGGUCAACUAAUCUAUGACAAAGGAGGCAAGGAUAUACAAUGGAGAAAAGACAGUCUCUUCAAUAAGUGGUGCUGGGAAAACUGGACAGCUGCAUAUAAAAGAAUGAAAUUAGAGCACUCCCUAACACCAUACACAAAAAUAAACUCCAAUUUGAUUAAAGACCUAAAUGUAAGAUCGGACACUAUAAAACUCUUAGAGGAAAACAUAAGAAGAAUACUCUUUGACAUAAAUCACAGCAAGAUCUUUUUUGACCCACCUCCUA